CGAGUAGAGCGGCGAAAGGGUGAGUAAUGCUUGGGUAACUUGCCCCUCGGACCGGGAUAGCCACUGGAAACGGUGGGUAAUACUGGAUGGUUUCGUGAGGCCUUCGGGCCAUGCGAAUAAAAGUGGGGAUCUUCGGACCUGCUACCGAGGGAGAGGCUCGAGUCCUACCAGCUUGUUGGUGAGGUAAUGGCUCACCAAGGCUAAGACGGGUAGCCGGACUGAGAGGUUGGCCGGCCACACUGGCACUGAGACACUGGCCAGACUCCUACGGGAGGCUGCAGUCGAGAAUCUUCCGCAAUGGACGAAAGUCUGACGGAGCGACGCCGCGUGGGGGAAGAAGGCCUUCGGGUUGUAAACUCCUGUCAGAGCUUAUGAAUGUUGCAUCGUUAAUAGCGGUGUAGUUGACAAAGGGCUCAAAGGAAGCCACAGCUAACUUCGUGCCAGCAGCUGCGGUAAUACGAAGGUGGCGAGCGUUGUUCGGAUUCACUGGGCAUAAAGGGCGUGUAGGCGGCCUGUAAAGCGGAGUGUGAAAGCCCGGGGCUCAACCCCGGAACUGCAUCCCGAACUGGCAGGCUAGAGGACAGCAGGGGGGUAUGGAACUCCAGGUGGAGCGGUGAAAUGCGUAGAUAUCUGGAGGAACGCCGGUGGCGAAAGCGAUACCCUGGGCUGUCCCUGACGCUGAGGCGCGAAAGCGUGGGUAGCAAACAGGAUUAGAUACCCUGGUAGUCCACGCCGUAAACGAUGAGCACUAGGUAGCCGUGGGAACCGACCCGUGGCUGCCGUAGGAAAUCCGUUAAGUGCUCCGCCUGGGGAGUAUGGUCGCAAGGCAA
rnacentral:rRNA from 1 species